rnacentral:piRNA from 1 species
UAAAGGAAAAUGAACCUCUCUCUUUUUGUU